CCCACUAGCGGUGGGGAGGAUCGUGGCUAUGUUCUUCUUGUAGAGUAUACAGUCUCUGAGGAUAAAUGACCUGGUGGUGUUGGAUGCAAGAAAGAUAGGGAAAAGAGGAGCUGAAGUAUCUUCUCAAGGAACUCCUUGAUCUUGGCCUAGGUGUUCUCCAGGACCAAUGGCAUCAUUCCAAGAGGAGCACCAAAUCUCCUGUCGGGGGUUGGGUGCGACAUAUGCCAUUGGAUGGCUUAUCAUGGUGGGAGCGAGUAGAACGUCGCCGGU